CAGUUACUCCCUCCGUGCGGAAAUACUUGUCAUUGAAAUGGGUGUAUCUAGAUGUAUUUUAGUUCUAGAUACAUCCAUUUUCAUCCAUUUUGAUGACAAGGAAUUCCGGAUGGAGGGAGUACAAA
rfam:Triticum aestivum genome assembly, contig: Triticum_aestivum_CS42_TGACv1_scaffold_222281_3B